GCCAGCCCCUAUCGAAGAGUUGCCCGAAGAGAUCCUGUUUACGCCCAUCAGACCAGAGUCUCCAUGCGAAUCUCUCACCCCCUCAACUCCCACGUCCUUGAGAGCAUGGACUAUCCCUAAAAUUACGGCCAAACUUAGGCUCAGGGGAAUCCCCUUUCCAGCUACGGCUAGAAAGGCGGAACUCUACAGACUGCUCACCUACCAAGCCCCUGAGCCUAGGCCAGGCACUAGCUCUCAAGGACAGCCACCAAGCGCUGGCACGGCCACCCAGG